rnacentral:rRNA from 1 species
AGGGAAUCUUCCGCAAUGGACGAAAGUCUGACGGAGCAACGCCGCGUGAGUGAUGAAGGUUUUCGGAUCGUAAAACUCUGUUGUUAGGGGAGAACAAGUACCGUUCGAAUAGGGCGGUACCUUGACGGUACCUAACCAGAAAGCCACGGCUAACUACGUGCCAGCAGCCGCGGUAAUACGGAGGUGGCAAGCGUUGUCCGGAAUUAUUGGGCGUAAAGCGCGCGCAGGCGGUUUCUUAAGUCUGAUGUGAAAGCCCACGGCUCAACCGUGGAGGGUCAUUGGAAACUGGGAGACUUGAGUGCAGAAGAGGAGAGUGGAAUUCCACGUGUAGCGGUGAAAUGCGUAGAGAUGUGGAGGAACACCAGUGGCGAAGGCGACUCUCUGGUCUGUAACUGACGCUGAGGCGCGAAAGCGUGGGGAGCGAAC